rnacentral:rRNA from 1 species
AUUGUGCUCUUUAUGGGCUAACAUGAUGGGGAGUGAGCUAACCAAAAUAACAGUAUUAGAUAUUUAGGUGGUGUGUGACAUUACACUAUAAAUAUUAUUGGUUAGGGGUGAUAGGCUAGUCAAGUUUCCAGGUAUCUUGAUGUAAAAGAAACUUAUGUAGUAUGGAACAAGCUGAUAGUGGUUAGAUUAUUAGUAAGUAUAAAGUACAGUGGAUAUUUAAUUACACUACUUAAUAGUAAGUAGAGGGAGAAAAGAAUAUUUUUUAAGAUCAGUUAUAGAGAGUAUUUUAUACGGUGCCGUAAUUAUUGAGAGCUAUAAUACUGUUAAUAUUAGUAUAGUCUUGAUUUUUUAGAAGGAACUCGGCAAGUAAUGUGCUCAACUGUUUAACAAAAACAUAACCAUGUGGUGUUUAUACCUGGCGUUUUCUGCUCCAUGAGUAUUUAAAUAGCCGCAGUACCCUGACUGUGCGAAGGUAGCAUAAUCAGUUGGCUUAUAAUUGAAGUCUAGUAUGAAAGAAUAAAUGGGUGAAGACUGUCUCCAAAGGACAAGGAGAAGUUGCUUAACAAGUGCAAAAACUUGUAUGAAGACAAAAGACGAGAAGACCCUAGAAAUUUUUUAAAGUUGUAUAAUCGUUUAAGUACAUUCUAUUUUGCUGGGGCGGCAGAGUAACACUAUAACUUGCUUAUAAUACUUAGAAGUUAGUUUGCAGGAGAAAUAUAAUUACUCUAGGGAUAACAGCAUAAUUCAUAAGAGUUUGUGACCUCGAUGUUGGACUAGGGCCUGCAAUGUUCAGAAGAUGUUGUUGCGCGUUCUGUUCGAACGAUUGCCCCUACAUGA